GCAACAGCUCAAAUUUGAAAUCUGGCUCUCGGGCCCGAGUUGUAAUUUGUAGAGGAUGACUUUGAUGCGGUGCCUUCCGAGUUCCCUGGAACGGGACGCCAUAGAGGGUGAGAGCCCCGUCUGGUUGGAUGCCAAAUCUCUGUAAGUCUCCUUCGACGAGUCGAGUAGUUUGGGAAUGCUGCUCUAAAUGGGAGGUAUAUGUCUUCUAAAGCUAAAUACCGGCCAGAGACCGAUAGCGCACAAGUAGAGUGAUCGAAAGAUGAAAAGCACUUUGAAAAGAGAGUUAAAAAGUACGUGAAAUUGUUGAAAGGGAAGCGUUUAUGACCAGACUUGGGCUUGGUUAAUCAUCUGGGGUUCUCCCCAGUGCACUUUUCCAGUUCAGGCCAGCAUCAGUUUUCGCCGGGGGAUAAAGACUUCGGGAAUGUGGCUCCUCUCGGGGAGUGUUAUAGCCCGUUGUGUAAUACCCUGGUGGGGACUGAGGUUCGCGCUUCUGCAAGGAUGCUGGCGUAAUGGUCAUCAACGACCCGUCUUGAAACACGGACCAAGGAGUCGUCUUCGUAUGCGAGUGUUCGGGUGUCAAACCCCUACGCGUAAUGAAAGUGAACGCAGGUGAGAGCUUCGGCGCAUCAUCGACCGAUCCUGAUGUUCUCGGAUGGAUUUGAGUAAGAGCAUACGGGGCCGGACCCGAAAGAAGGUGAACUAUGCCUGUGUAGGGUGAAGCCAGAGGAAACUCUGGUGGAGGCUCGCAGCGGUUCUGACGUGCAAAUCGAUCGUCAAACAUG
rnacentral:rRNA from 1 species